rnacentral:rRNA from 1 species
GAAGGCUAUGUUGGCCGGGCGACGGUUGUCCCGGUUUAAGCGUGUAGGCUGGUUUUCCAGGCAAAUCCGGAAAAUCAAGGCUGAGGCGUGAUGACGAGGCACUACGGUGCUGAAGCAACAAAUGCCCUGCUUCCAGGAAAAGCCUCUAAGCAUCAGGUAACAUCAAAUCGUACCCCAAACCGACACAGGUGGUCAGGUAGAGAAUACCAAGGCGCUUGAGAGAACUCGGGUGAAGGAACUAGGCAAAAUGGUGCCGUAACUUCGGGAGAAGGCACGCUGAUAUGUAGGUGAAGUCCCUUGCGGAUGGAGCUGAAAUCAGUCGAAGAUACCAGCUGGCUGCAACUGUUUAUUAAAAACACAGCACUGUGCAAACACGAAAGUGGACGUAUACGGUGUGACGCCUGCCCGGUGCCGGAAGGUUAAUUGAUGGGGUCAGCGCAAGCGAAGCUCUUGAUCGAAGCCCCGGUAAACGGCGGCCGUAACUAUAACGGUCCUAAGGUAGCGAAAUUCCUUGUCGGGUAAGUUCCGACCUGCACGAAUGGCGUAAUGAUGGCCAGGCUGUCUCCACCCGAGACUCAGUGAAAUUGAACUCGCUGUGAAGAUGCAGUGUACCCGCGGCAAGACGGAAAGACCCCGUGAACCUUUACUAUAGCUUGACACUGAACAUUGAGCCUUGAUGUGUAGGAUAGGUGGGAGGCUUUGAAGUGUGGACGCCAGUCUGCAUGGAGCCGGCCUUGAAAUACCACCCUUUAAUGUUUGAUGUUCUAACGUGGACCCGUGAUCCGGGUUGCGGACAGUGUCUGGUGGGUAGUUUGACUGGGGCGGUCUCCUCCUAAAGAGUAACGGAGGAGCACGAAGGUUGGCUAAUCCUGGUCGGACAUCAGGAGGUUAGUGCAAUGGCAUAAGCCAGCUUGACUGCGAGCGUGACGGCGCGAGCAGGUGCGAAAGCAGGUCAUAGUGAUCCGGUGGUUCUGAAUGGAAGGGCCAUCGCUCAACGGAUAAAAGGUACUCCGGGGAUAACAGGCUGAUACCGCCCAAGAGUUCAUAUCGACGGCGGUGUUUGGCACCUCGAUGUCGGCUCAUCACAUCCUGGGGCUGAAGUAGGUCCCAAGGGUAUGGCUGUUCGCCAUUUAAAGUGGUACGCGAGCUGGGUUUAGAACGUCGUGAGACAGUUCGGUCCCUAUCUGCCGUGGGCGCUGGAGAACUGAGGGGGGCUGCUCCUAGUACGAGAGGACCGGAGUGGACGCAUCACUGGUGUUCGGGUUGUCAUGCCAAUGGCACUGCCCGGUAGCUAAAUGCGGAAGAGAUAAGUGCUGAAAGCAUCUAAGCACGAAACUUGCCCCGAGAUGAGUUCUCCCUGACCCUUUAAGGGUCCUGAAGGAACGUUGAAGACGACGACGUUGAUAGGCCGGGUGUGUAAGCGCAGCGAUGCGUUGAGCUAACCGGUACUAAUGAACCGUGAGGCU